GAUGAAGAACGUAGCGAAAUGCGAUAAGUAAUGUGAAUUGCAGAAUUCAGUGAAUCAUCGAAUCUUUGAACGCACAUUGCGCCCCUUGGUAUUCCGAGGGGCAUGCCCGUUCGAGCGUCAUUAUACCCCUCAAGCCUAGCUUGGUGUUGGGGCCUGCUGUUACCGGCAGCCCUUAAAAUCAGUGGCGGUGCCAUCUGGCUCUAAGCGUAGUAAUACUUCUCGCUACAGGGUCCCGGUGGAUGCUUGCCAUCAACCCCUAAUUUUCUAUGGUUGACCUCGGAUCGGGUAGGGAUACCCGCUGAACUUAAGCAUAUCAAUAAGCGGAGG
rnacentral:misc_RNA from 1 species